ACUGGGAGUGGAAGGAGAGCC
rnacentral:miRNA from 1 species